rnacentral:rRNA from 1 species
CCUACGUGGGGCAGCAGUGAGGAAUAUUGGUCAAUGGGCGCGAGCCUGAACCAGCCAAGUAGCGUGAAGGAUGACUGCCCUACGGGUUGUAAACUUCUUUUAUAAAGGCAUACAGUGAUGCACGUGUGCCUUUUUGUAUGUCCUUUAUGAAUAAGGAUCGGCUCACUCCGUGCCAGCAGCCGCGGUAAUACGGAGGAUCCGAGCGUUAUCCGGAUUUAUUGGGUUUACAGUGAGCGUAGAUGGGUUGUUAAGUCAGUUGGGAAAGUUUGCGGCUCAACCGUAAAAUUGCAAUUGAUACUGGCAGUCUUGAGUACAGUUGAGGUAGGCGGAAUUCGUGGUGUAGCGGUGAAAUGCUUAGAUAUCACGAAGAACUCCGAUUGCGAAGGCAGCUUACUAAACUGCCACUGACAUUGAUGCUCGAAAGUGUGGGUAUCAAACAGGAUUAGAUACCCCUGUAGUC